rnacentral:misc_RNA from 1 species
AAAAGGUGUGGGUGGGAAAGACGCAUGUGGAGAAUUGGCUGGGUCCCCAUGUAGAACCAAUUAAAUCUAAGUGGAUCCCUGCCAUGCAUGAACGGUGGUUGGUGGUGAAAACAAACUAUGAACCACAUUUGCAAUCAUUGUGUAAAAGAAGUUCAGAAGCCUACGAGGCUUCAAAACAAGCAUUGACUCCACAUAUUAUAAGAGCACAAGAAUUUGCCUAUCCCUACUUUCAGAAAUUAAAAAUGGUCAGCAAACCAUAUGUUGAUCAUGUUGCUACCUUAACAAAACCUCAUGUCGACAAAGUUCGAGUAGCAUUAAAUCCUUACACAAAGGAGAUAGUCCAUGCUUGUGGAAAUU